rnacentral:rRNA from 1 species
CACGUAGGGCGCAAGCGUUGUCCGGAAUUAUUGGGCGUAAAGAGCUUGUAGGCGGUUUGUCGCGUCUGCUGUGAAAUUUCGGGGCUCAACCCCGAACUUGCAGUGGGUACGGGCAGACUAGAGUGUGGUAGGGGAGACUGGAAUUCCUGGUGUAGCGGUGAAAUGCGCAGAUAUCAGGAGGAACACCGAUGGCGAAGGCAGGUCUCUGGGCCGAUACUGACGCUGAGGAGCGAAAGCGUGGGGAGCGAACAGG